rnacentral:lncRNA from 7 species
ACCUGGGUGCUAUGGGUGUGCCCACACCCAGACCUUUCUACAGUCCUGCCUCCUGGAUGGACCUGUGCUGUAUCCUUGUCUCUUGCUGCUUAUGGCUGGACUGGCUGGACUUCCUGAACCUGGUUUAUUCUCUGGCUGUGCCUGGAGAUGUUGACAGACCGUGACACGAGCCUAGCCUCUGCUUCCUGUGUGCAACCCCAUCAAGAUAGUGCCCGUAAGUGAAGACUUGGUCUGUGCUGGAAUCAUUCCACAUCUUGGUUUGCAUGUUUGGGAGCAAGUGAACCUUCAGUGUCCCUGACAGGAUGGUUCUCUUGGGUAAUCACUGUGGAGUAUGAAGCCAGUUCCUGAAAAGAGACAACUUAAUAUCCUGCUAAGUUAUUUAUAAGCAACAAGUGUGCUCUUGGCCCUCGUCAUCACCCUGUGCCUUCUCCCAUCCUGGCUGGUUCACAACAGGAGUGGCUCAUUCUCCAGAUGGAUCCAGGUGGAUGGACAAGGCAGAAAUCAGCCACUGUUUGGUUGAUGAGAUUUGGGCUCUCCCAGGAACCUGGUGUGUGAAUACAGGCCUUCUAGCUGAGGAGAGCUGAAUCAAGUUACAGCUUCAGCUCUGUGGGAUGACCUCUGAAAAAACAUGAAAAUAUUUAUUUUAGGCUGUUGUCUCAAGUAACCCAAGGAAGGACUGCUUCAUACUCUCCUGCUUUCAGCACUGAUGUGGAGAAAAUGCAUGUUCCUAGCUUCCUAAUUUAGAUAGAUUCAUUAAGUGCAUCCAAUUAGGAGGGGAGAUUCUGUACCUUAAUCCUUUUCUUCAGUUUCUCUUUAUUUCUUCUUUUCCUGUGUACUGCUUUGUGUGGAUACUGUAGGUACUGUCUCACUGUGUGUACAGUGCCUUGCACAGAGGAGUUUGUUUUUCAUCUCAUUUUUUGAGAAACGGUGGCAAUCAAUACUGUUUUGUAGUCAAAUUUUAUUUCUUUCUAAACUUUUUUUUUCCUGUCUUGCUUUUGUUCACGCCACUGGAGGAUUUAGCUCUCCCUGCUGCUCACCUCCAAGCUCAAGGUGAUGUGAGCUUUUAAUCAGCAGACUUCCAAACUGUAGAUCUUGAAUUCUUUGGCCAUCAAUCAAGUGUCAGGGACUGUCUUAAAAUUGAGAACUUAAAUUUAAAAUCUCUUCCAUUGACUGUUGAAAUGCCUUGUUUGUAAAGGGAUAAUUGGAAACUUUUGUAGAUGUAAGCAUGGUCUGUUUGUUGCCAAAAAUCAUUGAUAUGAAUAUAGAUGGUAAUUUUAUUCAAAGCAUUUAAUUGCUUUAUUUUUAGUAGCCUUUUGUGAUUUAGUAGCCUUUUAUGACACUGCUAGGUAUAAUGGGUGACCUCUGCUAUCACUGCAGAAAAAAUUACAAGUAGGGAGUGUCUUAGUUCGUAACUGGUGAAUAAUAGCCACAGAUAUUUGACUAAGGACAAUGAAACCCAAGAUGCUAAUGAAAUCAGUGCCUUUGUCAAAAGAAAACCGUGGCUUCUGUGAUAGCUGAAGCCAUUAACUUGCCUACUGUUCCUUGUGGUAGCAGUGUGUUGAAAGUGAGUGGUACUCAAGCAAGGAUUCGAGACUGGUGUUUCCUAUUUGCCUCCUGAGCAACCAUAGUCAGAAUGAUUCAUCUAGGUGCCUAUGCCUUGGCUGACGAGUGCACAAAAUGGCAUGGUCGGAUGUGCUUCUCAUGCUCCUCUUGUAUUCCUUCAGCUUAUGUUUUUGUAAUUCUGAGUUCUUGGCAUGAAAGGCAUUGUGUAUAUUCCAAAUUACAUAAUUUAUCAUUUUUCAGCAUAGGAAAUAAAAGAUUUCACAUUUCUAAUAUUCUCCAUUUCUGGGUUUUACAAUACCUUUCUAUUAAAAAUAUUUUCAAAAGGAAUAAUAUUAAAGACUCUUAAGGAAAGCAUCAGCAGAAAUUAAUUGGAGACCUCUAAUUAACUAUGUGAUCAGCUAUUACGUACAGGACAAAAUUAAGCAAAUUCAUUUUCCACUUUUGAUAUUUGCUAUCUCUUGUGCUGGAGUGAUAGCUGCUGUUUCUAGGCAAAAAAUAUACUUAGGAAAAGAGGGGGAUAAAAAGGCUGCCCCAGCAUCAAGAUUAAUAAUUGUCAAGGAAAUACUACUGCCAGGAAAAAGAACAUCUGAUUUAUGUGUUUUGCUGAGCUUUGGUAUAUCCCAAUGUUUAUUAAAAAACAAACAAACAAACGAAAAACUUCACCAGAAGAGUACCAGAAUAAAUGUUCUAAUGU